AUUGAACGCUGGCGGCAGGCCUAACACAUGCAAGUCGAGCGGAUGACGGGAGCUUGCUCCUUGAUUCAGCGGCGGACGGGUGAGUAAUGCCUAGGAAUCUGCCUGGUAGUGGGGGACAACGUUUCGAAAGGAACGCUAAUACCGCAUACGUCCUACGGGAGAAAGCAGGGGACCUUCGGGCCUUGCGCUAUCAGAUGAGCCUAGGUCGGAUUAGCUAGUAGGUGAGGUAAUGGCUCACCUAGGCGACGAUCCGUAACUGGUCUGAGAGGAUGUGAAGGCAGACAGGAACUCCGCAGGGGUCCAGCAUGCUACUGGAGGCGGCAGGGGGGAAUAAUGGACCAUGGGCGAAAGCCUGAUCCGGCCAUGCCGCGUGUGUGAAGAAGGUCUUCGGCUUGUAAAGCACUUUAAGUUGGGAGGAAGGGCAGUAAGCUAAUACCUUGCUGUUUUGACGUUACCGACAGAAUAAGCACCGGCUAACUCUGUGCCAGCCGCCGCCGUAAGAC
rnacentral:rRNA from 1 species